GACGGAGGAUGCAAGUGUUAUCCGGAAUCACUGGGCGUAAAGCGUCUGUAGGUGGUCAAAUAAGUCAACUGUUAAAUCUUGAGGCUCAACCUCAAAAUCGCAGUCGAAGCUAUUAGACUAGAGUAUAGUAGGGGUAAAGGGAAUUUCCAGUGGAGCGGUGAAAUGCGUAGAGAUUGGAAAGAACACCGAUGGCGAAGGCACUUUACUGGGCUAUUACUAACACUCAGAGACGAAAAGCUAGGGUAGCAAAUGGG
rnacentral:rRNA from 1 species